UACGGAAGGUGCGAGCGUUAAUCGGAAUUACUGGGCGUAAAGCGCACGUAGGUGGUUUAUAAGUCCGGGAUGGUGAAAGUCCCGGGCUUAACCUGGGAAUUGCAUCUGAUACUGUCUGACUAGAGUAUGCUAGAGGGAAGUGGAAUUCCAGGUGAUAGCGGUGAAAUGCGUAGAUAUCUGGAAGGAACACCAAUGGCGAAGGCAACUUCCUGGGGCAAUACUGACACGUGAUGUGCGAAAGCGAUGGGAGCAACAGG
rnacentral:rRNA from 1 species